rnacentral:rRNA from 1 species
CUGCAGCCCAAUGUGGAAUUCGCCCUUGCGCUACCUGGUUGAUCCUGCCAGUAGUCAUAUGCUUGUCUCGCAGAUUAAGCCAUGCAUGUCUAAGUGUAAAUAGUUCAUUACGAAACUGCGGAUGGCUCAUUACAACAGUUAUUGUUUGCUUGGAGAGAUUAUUGUCGGAUAUCCGUGGAAAUCCUACAGUUAAUACGUAAAUACUCUAACGAGUUUGCAUAUUGCUGUGAACUUUCACAGGACUUCGGUUCUGGAUUCUAUGAACAUUUCUAUGCGCGAAUCGUACUUCAUGUACGAAAGUCCAUCAAAGUUUCUGACCCAUCAGGUUCCGACGGUAAGGUAUUGGCUUACCGUGCCAAUAACGGGUCACGGGGGAUUAGGGUUCGAUCCCGGAGAGGGAGCUUGAGAGAUGGCUACCACAUCUAAGGAAGGCAGCAGGCGCGCAACUUACCUAUCCCUGACUCAGGGAGGUAGUAAACAGAAAUAAUGACGUACGAUUUCAUAUCGUGCGAUCGGACUGAAUGGUUCCUAAAUCGAACUGUGAAUACAAUUGGAGGAAAAGUCUGGUGCCAGCACCCGCGGUAAUACCAGCUCCAAUAGCGUAUAUUAUUGAUGUUGCAGUUGAAACGUUCGUAGUCGAACAUUAUCCGCUCAAGUGCUGGGCUCACUUAGUGACCUGCCAUUCCAGGCGGAGAUCAUGCAACUUUUUGGGUGUUUCACCCUUUUUGUUGCACUUACUUUGAGUGAAUCGGCGUGUUCCACGCAGGCUAUCGCGAUGAACGAUUUACCAUAGCAUAACAAUAGUAUGAGAUUACCUUCUUGAAAGUUCAGAGGUGAUUUCGAUACAGAAAAGAACGGUUGAGGGCAUUCGUAUUCAACUGCUAGAGGUGAAAUUCUUUGAUUAGUUGAGGACGAACUAUUGCGAAAGCAUCUGCCAUGGACGUUUCUUUUGAUCAAGAACGAAAGUUAGGUGAUCGAAGAUGAUUAGAUACCGUUGUAGUCCUAACUAUAAACUUUACAAUCCAAGAAUUGGAUUGGUGAAUGACGCCUUUCCAGUACUUUCUGAGAAAUCACAAGUCUUUGUGUUCUGGGGGGAGUAUAGUUGCAAGGCCGAAACUUAAAGGAAUUGACGGAAGGGCACCACCAGGAGUGGAACUUGCGGCUUAAUUUGACUCAACACGGAAAACCUUACGAGGAUAAGACAAACGAAGGAUUGACAGAUUGAUCGCUCUUUCUUGAUUGUUUGGGUGGUGGUGCAUGGCCGUUCUUAGUUCGUGGAUUAAUUUGUCUGGUUAAUUCCGUUAACGAACGAGACCUUAACUCGCUAAUUAGGCGUUCUCAUUUAUGAGUACCGCCUAUUAGAAGGACUAUGUGUGUUUAACACAAGGAAGCGUGAGGCAAUAACAGGUCUGUGAUGCCCUUAGAUGUCCUCGGCAGCACGCGUGUUACAAUGAUGGGUAUAAAGUGUUUCCCAUUUCCUGAAAGGGCAAUGUAAUCACUAAUACCCAUCAACCCAGGGAUUGCUUGUUGGAACGUCAAACAUCAACGAGGAAUUCCUAGUAAGCGUGUAUCAUUAGUUCGCGUUGAUUACGUCCCUGCCCUUUGUACACACCGCCUGUCGCAUCUAUUGAUUAGGUUGUAUCAUGAGUUAGGUGGGGGUGCAGCCUUUAUUUAUAUUGGCCGCGCCGAAACUUUGCAAAUGGUAUUACCCAGAAACAGAUAAAGUCAUAACAAGGCAGCUGUAGGUGAACCUGCAGAAGGAUCAAGGGCGAAUUCCACAGU